CCACGGCCACGCAUCUGUCUGUCGUCAACAUGCCGCAGCAACGCAGCACGCGAUCGUUGCCGACGCUGCGGCAAGUGGCCGCCAGCACCUACUCUGUUGGGACAAAGCGGACCUCGAAUCACUACAGGAAGAAUGCCUUCUCGCUGGAUGGAUGCCUCCGACCUCUUCCCACACGCGUUGCUGCACCGCUCGAGAACGCCUCGAGUUUGGCCGCCGGAGAGGACGCUCUUUCGAACCGAGGAGAGACACCAUCGCCCGCGGAAGCGCUUUUGACGACAGCUUGCGCCCCUUCCUGCGGGAAAUCAGCGUCGUCGACGAUCUCCCUCUCGCCUAGUGGGGAGUCAUGGCACAGUGAGCUGCUGCGAUGCGAGACGGAACUGCGCGAGCUUGUGGCAUGCGGGGUGCAUGAUCCACCCUCGCUCAACCGCACGCUGAGGACGGUGGACCUGUUCGAUCGAGUCAGUUGCAUUAUGCAGGCGCAGCCGAACACCUCCUUUAUUGGCGACUUGCUGCGACUCUUUCGCGUCGAGCUCUGCCGCUCCAUAUUUGUGGCCCACAGCGACGAUGGCGCCGUAGAUUAUAGCGACGAGACGGCCAUCUCUGCCACCGGGGUGCGCCGCAAUGGAGAGGAGAGCAUGGACAACGACAGGCCCAACAAGUCGAAGGGCGGCUCUGCCUUGUGUGCGGACGGCAACCUGACACGGGCCUACUUUGAAGAAGCGGAAUCCCUGCGGCGCGCAAAGGCGUUUUUGACGACUGCCGUGGCGAAGAGUACCUCCGGCGAGUCCCUUCUGCUCCUGCAGCGCAGCAUAGAGGACAAAGAUGAGCAAAUCGUCUGGUAUGAGGCCGAGCUCGAGCGAGUCCGGCGACAGUUUGACCAGGUGAGCGACGAGUGCCGACAGGUUCGCCACAAGCUGGAGUCGGACGCGCAGGAGGCCGCCUCAAUGCAACGGCAGCUACAGCGCGAAAUUCAGACCCUCCACGUCGAGAACAAGGAUGUGCAGCUGCAGCUCUUCCGACUGCGCAAGCAGAUGGCGGGUGGCAAUUCAAACCAACUCAAGGAGGGGUAUCGACAGCUGAAGCUGAGCAAAAUCGCGCAGACGCAGAGCUUGUUUGACGAGGGUGAUGAGCGGGUGGUGCUGCUGGUGCUGCUCGGGCAGGUAGAGAGUCGAGUGAACGAGAUCUUGGACGCGUACGACAACGAAUAUGUACUCACACCAGAAGCGUUGCGGCGGGACCUGCGGAACAGGAUGGCCGAGAGUGUUGUGGUCCUCCUGGAGGACAUGCACUUUUGCGACACAGCAUACCGGCGCCUGGUCGCAGCGCACCGCACUGGCGGCAACAAAAAGAGCUCGGUGACGGGUGGCGACAACGUGGAUCAAGCAGACGCGCACCGAAUCCCUCUGGAGCUUGUCCACACUGGCGAUGGCGAGGAGGCUCCGGAUGAGACGGAUGGGUUCGUGGCCAUUUUGUUUGACCAACGUGUCUACGAGCACUUUCAGGCACGACACGCGUUGCAGGCGCGUCUGCAGCAGUACCAGGCGAUGAGCAACGCUAGUUCGGCGCAGGCGAAGGAAGCGCAGACAGCGCCCGGUAGCGCGACGAACCCCGUGCACCCGGAUCCAUCGGCGUUGCAUCAGGAAACGCAGACCGCGGCAACACCGGAGAUAAUGCACGACAAGCACGGCGCCUGCUUGCGUGGACGGGCGCAUUCGAGGGACGAGCAAGGCGGCGCGUCGCCACGGCCGGCGACGGAACACCAAGACACCUUGGUGGGCGGUGACAAGGCUGGAGCGCUAAAGUCGCAUCCGCCUCUGCCCGCAACGGACCUUCCACCGCUGCCUGCGACUUCUGACGGUUCCCCGUUGUCCUCGUCACGGCCGCCCACGCUGCCGAAGCAGAGCAGCAGGGCUGCCCUGACGGCACUGCCAGACAUGCCUGCUGCCCACCGGGGGCCGUUACUGAAGAGGACUAGUCGGGCUCAGCGUGCACAAUGGGUCGCCAACAUUCUCGGACCCUCCGCCACCUCCGUCGUCUUCACCAUCCCGCGGCCCAACUCGGAGCAGGCAGAUGUGGUCGUGGUGCAGCGGAGGAUACCCGAGGUGGUGCCGGCCGAGGCGGCCAUGCAGCGUGUUUUGCGGCACCCGAUGGAGGAGCUCAGCAGCGAGCGAUUCCUUUCUACCGUUGAGGUGUUCACCGGCGAGGACCCGGUGCAGCAGAAGCUGCUGUGCCGUAUGAACUACGUCGAUCCCUCGCUGGCCAUUCAAGUACCCGACACAACCAACUUUGUGAAGGUCAAGUAUGCCCACGCUGAGAACGCGCGCGCGGUAUCCGCGGCUGGGCCGGCUGCGAGGGGCUCAAUGGCGUCUCAGUCGGCUUCCGAGUCUAAUGGUGGAGCUGGGGGCGGUUCUGGCGUUUACGGUGGAAACCCUAGCCUUCGCCUUUUCAAGGAGCUCGGCAGCAAGAGCCUUGUCGAGAACAACCCAGGGCUGCAGUACCGCGCCGGCGCAGUAAGCUCGACGACGGCCUCGACCGUUGCUUUCCAGCGGCUGAACCCGCUCUCGCCCGACCGUGCGCCGGAGUGGCUGCUGUACAAGCAGUUGUUCGGGGCCUACCGCUCCCUCACGCCGCGUAUGAUUGAAGUGACCACCAUCGAUCAUCUCAUGGCGUGCGCCUCGGAGCGCUUUUUCAUCCGCAUGGAGUAUCGCUACGACGAGUGCCUCGCGCGAGCGGCGCAGCAGUGUGCGAACUUGCAGCUGCGCCGGGACAUGGCGGGGCGAUUCUUCAAGGACAUGUACGUGCUCAGUGACUUUCAGGAGGCGCUAGUCGACGAGCUUGAGGCACGGUACGGCUAUCCGGAGCUGGUGGCGAAAACGCUGUACGAAAUUCUGUGCUACCUGGAUGCUGUGGUCGAGAAGGACAGCGUCCUGGCUGCCUACCUCGACGUGAUUCGCGGCUUUGUGUCCCCGACGCAGGUGCACUUCGUUUCGUAUAUGUUGUACCAUCUGAGCUACUGCUGGCCCUCCGCCGACCCUACCGUUGCAGUUUCCGCUGACGAGGUGCGCACGGUCUUCGACUACCUUUACCGCAACGCCUCUCCGCUGCUUCUGAUUGACCCAGAGAACAUCUUUAAGGACUACAAUAUGGCCUCUCGCUCUGCUCCUCUGACUUUCGUCAGCAUGCGGCAGUUUCUCGCCUCAGCGAUGGUUCACAUGGAGGAACCGCUUCUGCUGCUCCUACAUGGCCGUUUCCAUGCGUACACGCAGCGAAAGGCAACGGAUGAGAUCACCUGGGAGACGUACGAGGCCGUUAUCGCAAAGUGCGGCCGCAUGAAGGAGGAGAGGCGGAGUCUUGUGCGCUUCCUCGCCAGCGGUCUCGGCGUCAAUCGACGUGCAUUUGCCUCUCUGCAGCAGCUCACCUUUCUGGCGGCCAGCGCGUGGAGUUCCAAUUUCUGGGCCUGAAGCGCGCGGUCGAUGCCAUCCGUCAGAAUCCAGACUGUGUAGAUUUCUCGGUGUUCAUGCCUCAACCAUGCACCACAGAGCCUUUUCCGUUACUUUCGCCAUCUUCACCGUGGGCACCUGUCUGUGCUUCGCAUUCCUGCAGCGGCGGGUCGCCGGCAGUGGCGGCAUGGGACGCAUUUGGCGUGCUCUCAACUGCUGCGCUAGCGUUGCAGCACCCCGCCCACUCGCCAGACCCGGCACCUCCGUCUGUGUCGGCUAUGAGAACGCUUGAUCCGGCGCGGUGCCUCGUACGCUAUGUGAGAUUCACUGACUUUUCGAAGCAGACGACGUUGCGGGCCGUCAUCUUGCACAACGCUGCGACACGCCUCACACACACGCUGCACCGGGGCUCCGCCGUCUGGUGUCCAUCGCUGCCCCGCCCCAACCCUUCUCUGCAUUCUCAGCGCGACAGGCUGGGGGCUCUGCGCGGGGCCGGCGCACAGGCGUGGCCCCCGGCCCGGCCCCCUCCGCCAGCCUCCUCUGCCCGGCCACAGCCCCGCGACUGUGAAGGGCGUGCGGGUGGAGAGGAGGUUGGAGCGUCUCCUGCCGCCGCCGGCGCAGGGCAGUAUCCGGACUGUAGCGGCAGCAUGCGGGCAAGCCAUCCAGGCACGCCUCCCCUCCUCCUCCACCUCCCCCCAGGCAAGAACGCCGUCUUGACGCAGGCCGCGGGAUGCCGCAAAUGCGAGCACGGCGCGCAGGCGCCGUGGGGCACAGCCGGCACGGUGUACCACGCCCAGGCACAGCAUCCGGCGGUCAGCGGAGCGCGAGUGAGGGGCGCGAAGCGGCCCAUGCCGAUCACCCCCCUCCCCCGACGAGCAUGCCUGCGAAGCAUGCGGCACAGCCCGUCUGCAUCCCGACGGGGCGGGCUGAUGAGGCGCAGACGCCGGGAGCAUGGCGAGAGCACCGCCGAGCCCUGCAGACUCCCACGCGACGAGUCGCCGCGCCAGAUCACGGAAUAGCGCGACUUGCAGCGGCUCUGGGCGCAGGAGCACGGCACGCAGGCCGGGCCUCAGAGGGCCCUAACCCCGAGGCUGGCCCGCCUCCUCCUCGAGCUCGUGCGGCGUGCGCGGUGGCCGCCCCCUGUUACGCGGGCGACAGAGACGCCGUCGCCACUGCCCUGGAGCGCAGGACGCUGCAGGCGACCCUGCUUGGAUCGAGGCAUGCGCCCCAGCGGAGGCCCGUCUGGCGGCCGAGGCGCGCGGCUCGAUUUCGCGGCAGAGGGCGGUGCGCCCUAGACGACCAGAGUGUAGCCGUGGUGCCGCAGAGGUGGGUGAGCUGUGGUCGCGUGUGCGGUGGUGAACAGAUGUGGUGAUGGCGGGAGGCGUUUGUUGAAACCUGAACUCAUCUUACUGCGAGAACUGGUGUGUUGCGUGUGCCGCUUUGGUUUCUUCUCUCAUUGGAAUCUCAGAUGUACAUUGAUGCGGAGCGGCGGUGCUCUCCGCUGCCUCUUCUCCUUUGUUGUCGCUUCUACGGUGUCUGCUUUUUUUUUUGUUCCCCGAGAGCUCCUUGAUGGCCAUGGAUAGCUGCGCGUGACUUCUCCGGGUGCUGCGCCCCACUCGCCGGGGGACUAGGGGGGACGCCCUUCCCCUAACAUCUGUCCCGGCCCAAUGCCGAAGCACUUGUGGAGGCGACAGGGUCAAGCACCCACAGCCGAUGGGGUGGGCGGGUGAGGGCGAUUUUUCAGUACCGAUGCUCGCAAUGAGGUUGUGGAUAGCGUUGCAUGGGAGCGACCUGCAGGAGGAAUCAUGUUUCUUGUUUGCAAAUGAUCGGUGAGGUGCCGUUGUGUCUUAAAGGCAUCGCCCACCCAGCCAUCGCAUUGCCUACUUGUGUGCUGAGCCUGCACCUCUCCGAGAGGUGCCCCAGGUGGCGACCGGCAGAGGGGGAGCUGCGGAGAGAGGACGUUCGAGGAAGGCAGGCGGAUUUCGAGGCAGAGGUCUUGGGCAUAUGACAGAGUCAGCAGUACUGCGGCGCGUGUCUACGGCUACUGCUCGCCACGUGAGAGGCCCGUGAUGGGGCGGAUUACGUUGGACACGGACUCAUGCAGUAUGUCAGAAUGGACACGCCGAAGGAAGGAACGAGAGCACUGCAGCCUGUUGGACUGUUUCGCACGUAGCGUCGUGCGGUGCGAAAUCGUAUCUGUUCCGACGCUGUGGAAGGAGGAGCAUUCUGUUUUUAUUUUGCCUGCUUUUAUUAUUGCUUCAUUUCUUCCGUCGCCUCUCAUAUAAGGCUCGCGCUCACGUGUGCUGACAGCACUCUCCCGUGAGUACUGCACGCCCUUACCGAAGCAUCUGCCCAACCGCCCUGUCGCUCCACCCACCCCGAAAAAAAAAAGAAUAUGUCUUCUCUGUACAAGGUCACUUCUGUUCUUUUCUUCUUUCUACACACUACUGCCGCGACGAUUGGCUGAUGUGAGAAGAGCUGAUAGAAAAGGCAUGCACCAGCCGACAUCGUCGUAGUCAUUGGCGUUUUGGAUGAGUCUGUGCAGCGACGGGGUGUGCGCGACACAAGAGCACCUUG
rnacentral:misc_RNA from 1 species